UACAGAGGGGGCAAGCGUUGUUCGGAAUUACUGGGCGUAAAGGGCUCGUAGGCGGCCAACUAAGUCAGACGUGAAAUCCCUCGGCUUAACCGGGGAACUGCGUCUGAUACUGGAGGGCUUGAGUGCGGGAGAGGGAUGUGGAAUUCCAGGUGUAGCGGUGAAAUGCGUAGAUAUCUGGAGGAACACCGGUGGCGAAGGCGGCAUCCUGGACCGACACUGACGCUGAGGCGCGAAAGCUAGGGUAGCAAACGGG
rnacentral:rRNA from 1 species